rnacentral:rRNA from 1 species
CNUGCAGUCGANCGAUGAAGCCCUUCGGGGUGGAUUAGUGGCGAACGGGUGAGUAACACGUGGGCAAUCUGCCCUUCACUCUGGGACAAGCCCUGGAAACGGGGUCUAAUACCGGAUAACACUCUGUCCCGCAUGGGACGGGGUUGAAAGCUCCGGCGGUGAAGGAUGAGCCCGCGGCCUAUCAGCUUGUUGGUGGGGUGAUGGCCUACCAAGGCGACGACGGGUAGCCGGCCUGAGAGGGCGACCGGCCACACUGGGACUGAGACACGGCCCAGACUCCUACGGGAGGCAGCAGUGGGGAAUAUUGCACAAUGGGCGAAAGCCUGAUGCAGCGACGCCGCGUGAGGGAUGACGGCCUUCGGGUUGUAAACCUCUUUCAGCAGGGAAGAAGCGAGAGUGACGGUACCUGCAGAAGAAGCGCCGGCUAACUACGUGCCAGCAGCCGCGGUAAUACGUAGGGCGCAAGCGUUGUCCGGAAUUAUUGGGCGUAAAGAGCUCGUAGGCGGCUUGUUGCGUCGGUUGUGAAAGCCCGGGGCUUAACCCCGGGUCUGCAGUCGAUACGGGCAGGCUAGAGUGUGGUAGGGGAGAUCGGAAUUCCUGGUGUAGCGGUGAAAUGCGCAGAUAUCAGGAGGAACACCGGUGGCGAAGGCGGAUCUCUGGGCCAUUACUGACGCUGAGGAGCGAAAGCGUGGGGAGCGAACAGGAUUAGAUACCCUGGUAGUCCACGCCGUAANCGUUGGGAACUAGGUGUUGGCGACAUUCCACGUCGUCGGUGCCGCAGCUAACGCAUUAAGUUCCCCGCCUGGGGAGUACGGCCGCAAGGCUAAAACUCAANGGAAUUGACGGGGNCCCGCACAAGCAGCGGAGCAUGUGGCUUAAUUCGACGCAACGCGAAGAACCUUACCAAGGCUUGACAUAUACCGGAAAGCAUCANNNNUGGUGCCCCCCUUGNGGUCGG